GGUUUGGUGGUCUAGUAGUAUGAUUCACCCUUAGGGCUUCCGAAGCGCUUGGGUGAGGUCCCGGGUUCAAUUCCCGGCCAGACCC
rnacentral:tRNA from 1 species